CCUAGAAAGACUGAAAAACUUACCAAAGAGACAGUUAAUAAUUAUGAAGACAUGGAGAGAGAUCUAUUGUCAAUGAAGCAACAGUUAGCUGAGAAGGAGAAACAAGUACAAGAACUAAUGAAAGAGAGAGACCAACCGGAUGAUAUGGAUAAGCUAAAAAUAAAUCUUGUGACAAAAAUUCAGGAAAUUGAUCAUUUAAAGGUUUCUAUUAAAGAGAAAGAUGAUGAGUCAGAUUCUAAGAUUCAGGAAUCACAAAGUAUGAUCCAUGAAGAAG